CAUUGAAACACUGCUUCCCGUACGAUCAUCAAAGUUAAGUAACGUUGUGCCUGGUCUGUAUUUAGAUGGGUGACCGUUUGUUAAUACCAGGUGCUGUAAG